UUUAAAUAUUAAUAUAUCAUGGUACAGGGAUUUCGUGUACUAUCAUCGCUGCCUCCGUAUAUAGCCAUGUCUCCCCCUCCCUCCCCUAACCUUUUAAUACAGUCCCCUCUCCCCUUCCUUUAGUAUUCCCACCCUGUAUUCUCCCGUUUUCCGUUGUUUAUCCUUGCUCCCACCCUUUUUUGUUUCAUGCGCUUCCAUCUUACCCUUAUUGAUCAGGGGCCCCUUAACUCCCCUCCUGCUACUCUACCCUCCCACACCUCUCCCUGCCCCCUACUCCCCCUUCCCCUUGC